ensembl:lncRNA
CUACAUAUGCUAACGUUAGCUACGAGUGACGUUUUUCGCUUCUACUGAACAAUUUGCUGUGAAAAAAACAUCCAUAUGGACCCGAUUUAGUUAUUACUUUAAUUGUGUGUGAUAAAUAUGUUUAUAGUCUGACAGAACAGCUAAAAAUAGUGAAAACUUGGUGAAAGUGAUUCUCAUGAGAGGUUUUCUUCCCCCUCGGCUUGGCCACGCCCCCUUGUAUGACGUGUUUCCGUCUGUAUUCAACUCAUUCCUCACUUUCUCAACACAUUUGUAGCAUCUCAAUUCUUCACAAGGAUGAGUUUGUGAGCACAUUUCACGACUUCCAAAAUGUACAAAAAAUUUGCUUCAAAACUAGCCUUGAAAUAGAUACAAAUAGUAUUGUAUAUGUUUGAGGGGAGAACUCUCCUGAUGUCGAUGGAAACCACAUUUUAUUUGUGCUUAUUGAGUUUAAAGCAUGUUACCGUGGCAACGCACUCUUACUGUUUGAAAGCGGACGAUUUUAGCUGUGACUUUAUGACUUUGGGAGAUUGUCCAGGACUGAAGUGCUCGUUGUUUGUGAGUUUGUAAAAAUGUCUAAACUCCAAACGCUGAGAGCUUUGGUGAUCGAGCAUCUGGCUGCGGCGGCUGAAGAGAUAUCUGCGCUGUUUGAAAGAACCACAGUGGAGUAUGAGGAGGAACUAUGUCGCUCUGAAGACGAGAACCAGAGGAGACAGGAGCUCCUGGACCAGGCUCUGAGCCCAAGAGUCCUGCUGAACCAGGGUCUGAACCAAGACUUUACACAGACUCCACGGAUUAAAGAGGAGCCAGAGGAACACGGCGUCUCUGAGGAGGAAGAGAAGCUGCCAGUGCCUGUUCCAGAGUCCAGUGCUGUCUGUGUGAAGAGCGAAGAGUCUCCGUUUGAGCAGCUGAUGGAGACAGAGGCUGAUGGAGACGACGACGACCAAGUCCAGAGCAGAGACAGAAGAACCAAACUGUCCCCCCACAACAAGUCUGCACCAGAGACCACUGUCCACAAUAAAGACAAGUCAGGACCUGAUGCAGCAGAGCACAAGAAACACCAGUGCUCAGUUUGUAACAAGAGAUUUGGGGCUAGAGGAGAUUUACAAAGACACAUUAGAGUCCACACAGGAGAGAGACCAUACAGGCGCAUUGAGUUGCCUUGUGUAUGAAAUGCGCGGUAUAAAUAAAAUUGCCUUGCCUUGCCUUACAGAUGUUCCUUCUGUGAGAAAGCAUUUACACUAAAAGCUACUUUAGAUUUACAUAUGAGAACACAUACCGGUGAGAAACCGUUCAGUUGUUCAACCUGUGAGACAGUGUUGUUUUCGUCAACGAAGACGAUAACGAUAUGAUUUCGUUGACGCCCCUUUUUUUAAUGACGAUAACGUAACGAUGACGAGCUAAAAAUAGCUCUUUGGGGACUAAAACCUGACGAGACGUUUAUGAGUUUACGUCAACGAGACGAGACGAGACUAAAAUGGGAGAAAGUGGUUCGUCAGAUCGUUCACAGAGUUUAUACGCGGAGCGGGAGAACACACUGGCAAACGUGACACAGAGCGGCGCCGCAGCUCUCAUGAUGAAUUUAGAUAACUAUUUCCAAUAGUUAUCUAAAUUAAUUAUAACUUUUUAUAAUGAAACUGACGAAAACUUGACUAAAACUAUCACAUUUAGAAAUGACUAAAAUGUGACUAAAUCUAU